GAUGAUGUGAGCCAGCAGACUCAUUCUCCUGCCUUCCCAUUCUUGAACUGUUCCUUCCUCCCCACCUCCCCCACUGUGAUGGACGGGAACCUCCAACCACAAGACGAAAACCAGAGGUGACAGCCUGACACUCCAUGAUGUCUGUGUACUGGAACCGUUCCCCAAACCCAGGCCAGCUGCAGCCCUCUCUGAUGUCCCCCUCCUGUGUGGCUGGAGGGGAACAAGCUGGGCCCUCCGUGGGAAGCAACAGCAGAUCUGUUCCUGGCGCGCGAUUCUUCGCACAUUUGUUUGAUCCCUGUCCAGGUCUCUCAGCCAUUUGCUUCUAAGCCGAGAGCGGAACGUAAAAGUAGUCCCAAGUGGCCGUUUUCAGGUCUUCAACAGACCUGGUUAGCCGCAGUUGGGAAAUCGUCCCCGGCCCCUCUGUGAAUUAUCACGUCAGUGAGUGGAGCUUCAGGGUGGUCGAGCCAUAGCUCCGGGCUCUUCCUCUGACAUCCAUCACUGCAGGUGUGGCUUAUUAAGAUGUUCUCCGCCUAAAGAACUCCAGUGCGGUGUCUUCCCAAAGGAGCACGGGAGAGAGGAGGCCUCUGGAGCUACCGACUGGAAACCACUUCUUCGCUCUACCAAGGAACCCUGGGUCCCAUCACCAGCCCGCGUCUACUCAACACUUACCCCUCCCUAUCGCUGCCCUCACAGCAAUCCAGGCCAUGUUAGGGAAUACCUUUUUUUCCUAACCUAACAUAUGAAGCUCCUGUUCAGGGACAAAGCGUCGCCUCGCCUGCCCCCCUCCAACCAGUUCCUCCUGCUGCCUGCCCUGAGCCUCUGGGCCAAGGGGAAGAUUAGAUUGCACAUGAAUAAGCAAUAUUCACUUGGCUCUGGAAGCCUGGAGUAAAAUCCCCUGAGCAGCGGUACACAGCAGUGCAGGAUUUCCCCGCUCCUUCUCUCCAUCACCUCUCUCGCUGCCCCCAGCUCCUAUUUCAUGUGAGGACCUUUCUCUGGGACGUUCUUGCCAGGGGUGCCUGUACUAGAAUACUCUCUUCAAAGCGUGGAAUUCACAACGGAAAGCAGAUCCUCUGAAGCCGUGACUCAAAUGGACGAUGAAGAGAGACGUGUGAAGGGAGGUGCCUCUCCUGCUGCUCCAUCUAUGGGGUGAAGGGAGAGGGAGUCGGGCCCUUUCUUUCCACCCUCUUCAGUGCCUUGGAUCCACUCACUGAUCCACCAUGUCACCCUUCCCUCCUGUAGAAGGGAAGCCUCUAGGGCAGUGAUUCCCAACCUUCCCAACACUGCGAUCCUUUAACACAGUUCCUCAGGCUGCGGUGACCCCCAACCAUAAAAUCACUUUCGUUGGUACUUCAUAACUGUCAUUUUGCUACUGGUAUGAAUCAUAAUAUAAGUAUCUGUAUUUCCCAACGGUCUUAGGUGACCCCUGCCAAAGGCUGUUCCACCUCCAAGGGGUCAUAACCCACAGGCUGAGAACCAUUGCUUUAGAGCAUAUUUUGAGAGCUGUCUACUCUGGGAAGAGCCUGCCCUUCAGGGAAGAAGGUCUGGAGAGGUCAAGUACCCUCAGGAAAGGGAAGGCCAGGACCAUGAGUUACCUGACCACGGUCAGUGCACCUGUGCAAAUCAAAUCCUGCUCCUCCAUUUGUAUAACUGACAAGUGGCUCUAUUGUGUUGAGCCUCACUUUACUUACUAUGGGAUGGAACAUAAGGGUCAUGAAUGUGAUGUUAAUCUCUAGUGUUCCAAACCACACUUCCAACAGUUUUAAACUGCAUUUACUCUUGUCCCCUUCAGAUGCCUGAACUCCCCCAGGUAGGCCAAAUUCCUACAGGAACCCCAGAUAUGGUCAAAGGAUGCAUGUUUUUUUAUGAGGAUGGUCUCAAGACUUCUCCUUGAUGAUUCCCUGGGCCUGGAAAACACCCGUUAACUUAGAGGUCUCUGGUUCAUGGCAGGGGCUCUAGUCAUAUCAUUUUCCUCAAGUGGAGGAGGAAAAGGAGGACGAAGGGAAGGAGAGAGAAGUCAGGGGGGCAACGGAGGGCCAAGCGAGAGUUCAUCACGAACCCAGUCUCUUCUGAGAACCUCUUCUGUGUCUCCCCCGCCCCUCCCAGCAGCUUCAUCCUUCCCUCCUGGGCAUUAGCGUUUUCUGUUGUUCCAGGUUCCUUAAACCUAGCAUCACGCUCAGCUCUCUCCUCUGGCUUGGUCCCUUUCCGCAUGUCCUCUGCUGGCUCGGAGACAUCCUCCUUGUGCCCUGCAGUUAGGUCUUCUCCUUCGCUCUCAGUCCUCACUGUAGUCCAAAGCUUUGCUCUCGCCCAGGAGUGAGGUCCUCCUGCCUCCGAUCCAUUUCACGGCCAUCUACUCUGUCAGCUGAUUCAGGUGGCUCCGCAGAGGCCACCCUCCUUCCCACUUCCCUUGUCCAUGACCCCCGUCACUCUGCCCAUCUCCACACCUUCCCUACACAGACCCUCUUUUAGCCUAGCCUCUCCCCUCUCUGCAUGGGGUGUGUAAACUUCCACCAUGAAGACCCUCACUCUGAGAGAGCAGCUGCCAAUCACAGGUGGUACUGAGCACAUAAAGUGUGGCCAAAGUCACUGAGGAUCCAAAUUUUGUUUUAUUUUAUUCAAAUUUGAAAAUGAAAGUAGUAUGGGCCCUCUUUUUGCAUUUGAUACUUCAUUGCUUAAUUCGAUAGUACUACAUUUUGCUUUAAUACAGGAGCACAUAAGACAUAACUGCUGCAUGGUAAUACGUGUCUCAGGUGUGUCAGGAGGAAGUGUCAUUUCUAAUAUUAAAAACAGAUCAAAAGUCACUCACUAUGUUGGUGUCAGUGGAUUGACUUGGAGUAAUUUUGUUCUAAGCACCAAUGUACUAGUGUGAUGUAAUUCUUCAAAUAUUUUAUGUCAAUAGCCUUGUUACAAUACCUGUCUCCUUUUAUUUUUAAUGUGUCUACUAGAACAUGUACAAUAAAAAUGUAGUUUGCAUUAUA